CUUCAACUUCCUUUUGAUGCUUUGUUCCAUACCCUUCAACACCUUCAUACCCAAUUGGUUUAGCAAUAACUUCUUUUUCGUCUUGUGGUUUUCCGGCAAGGAAAACAACAACUCCGGCCAGCCACAAAAUCUCAAUCAAGCUCGAAUUCGUCCCAUUCCGGCCCAACCUCCAGCUAUCUCCAUCUGAUUGGCCAAAAAUUUUGCCCUUUUGGCGUGAUUUGAAAAACGCCAAUCGAUUUUUUUCUCGAAAAACGCCCGAUAACGCCGGCAUGUAAUGGGAUAGGGGCGUGAUUCGGCGUUUUCUUUGAUUUAAAAAAAAAACGCCCCACUACACAUGGUCUUAGAGAACAAGCAAUAAUGUGGGAUUAACUCUAAUCCAAACCGUCCAGUCGAUAAUAUAUGUAAAUCUUAUAUAUAUGUCAUUUGUAAACUCAUAUCAACAAAAUCGAAAAUGGUAAAGAAUAUCUCUUGAAUUUAAA